CAGUCGAACGAGAAUCUUUGGAAUGAUUCUUUCGGGAUGAAUUCCAAAGAGGAACGUUUAGGACGGGCGAGUAACGCGUGAGUAACCUGCCCAUAAGAGGGGGAUAAUCCAUGGAAACGUGGACUAAUACCGCAUAUUGUAGUUAAGUUGCAUGACUUGAUUAUGAAAGAUUUAUCGCUUAUGGAUGGACUCGCGUCAGAUUAGAUAGUUGGUGAGGUAACGGCUCACCAAGUCAACGAUCUGUAGCCGAACUGAGAGGUUGAUCGGCCGCAUUGGGACUGAGACACGGCCCAGACUCCUACGGGAGGCAGCAGUGGGGAAUAUUGCGCAAUGGGGGCAACCCUGACGCAGCAACGCCGCGUGCAGGAAGAAGGUCUUCGGAUUGUAAACUGUUGUCGCAAGGGAAGAAGACAGUGACGGUACCUUGUGAGAAAGUCACGGCUAACUACGUGCCAGCAGCCGCGGUAAUACGUAGGUGACAAGCGUUGUCCGGAUUUACUGGGUGUAAAGGGCGCGUAGGCGGACUGUCAAGUCAGUCGUGAAAUACCGGGGCUUAACCCCGGGGCUGCGAUUGAAACUGACAGCCUUGAGUAUCGGAGAGGAAAGCGGAAUUCCUAGUGUAGCGGUGAAAUGCGUAGAUAUUAGGAGGAACACCAGUGGCGAAGGCGGCUUUCUGGACGACAACUGACGCUGAGGCGCGAAAGUGUGGGGAGCAAACAGGAUUAGAUACCCUGGUAGUCCACACCGUAAACGAUGGAUACUAGG
rnacentral:rRNA from 1 species